AUGGUACGAUAAAGGUAAGAUUAUUGGCACUUUCCUUAAUGAUAACGAGUUUCUACGACCUAUGAAAUACACACAUGGUUAAGGAACUGGCACCUACUUCAUGUCAUCUAUCCAUAAUUUUUG
ensembl:snRNA